rnacentral:lncRNA from 1 species
CCCAGUAGAACAAGGCACCCGGCGAGAGAAACCGAUUUUAUCUGCUUUGACCAUCGGCCGCGUUCUUUAACAACCCAGCCCCGGCGCUGGAACCUUGCCCACCUCCUCCGGGGUCUGCUCCGACCCCCGCCCCCGGGCACCUCCGAGGCACCGGCGGGCGCCGGCUGCAGCAGAGCGUGGAGGGAAACCGGGAGCCUCUGGCACCGGCGCUGCCACUCUUCGCUCCCAUUUUCUUCGAGAUGCCACGGAGCCACCCGGCGAUCGAUUGAUACCUCGGCCCGGGGGAGAAAGGGGGGGGUGGAACCAGCUGUUGCAAAAGGACAUGGUAAAUCUAAUAGGGACUACUGUCAAUAGAGAAAUGACAGAGAAGAAGAAUUGGCUUCUUAAAGUCUGCUGAACUAACACUCAUCAUGCAGCCGCGGACACGUAUUCUCAAUCGGAGCCUGGUAUCUGCCCGAAGCCCCAGCGCAUCCAUCCGGGGGCUGCGAAAGGCACCGAAAUAUCGCAGCCCGACCCUGGGAAAUAUAGAGAUGGCGGAGAAUUUCCCCGUACAACUUGGUCACCGAGGCCAACCUAAAGGUGUGCGCGGACAUACGUGUGCUUUGCAGCCCCCACCUGAUGGCUCUCCCCGUCACCCCACCCUCCCCGGACCCGCAGCACGUCGCAGGCCACGCUCUCCCGUCGCCGUGUCCUCUGCCGGGAUCCAGAAGCACGGGCACAGCCGACUCCUACCCCGGCGCUUCUCCGGAGCAGCAGGGGUGUUGUGAACACUUAUUAAACCCAGAUGAUCUGAGAGUUGGGGCAUACGGAAAAGAUUUUCAAUUAAAGCCGAGAGCAGCCAGCUUCGCGUCGCAGGUGUAAACAAUAUUUGUGCAGCUCUCGCUUCUCAUCCCGGAGCGGAUCCUUCCCCUCGCUGCAUCCCGCAGGGAGGAGAAGGGAAGGGGCCGCUUCUCUCUCCGGGCCCCACUCGCACCUCGCCGGGCUCCCCACAUCGCUCAGUGCACACCCGGGCGGGUCUGUGCCCUGCAGCCCCCGGCCCCGAAUCUCCUCCCCUCCGCUCACCUGUUGCUGCAGCCGCUUCCGUAAGGGCAGGGACUAAAAGGAAAAUUCAAUAGCUCCGGUCUAGGAAAGCGGCGGCGGUGUAAAGUGUUGCGGUGACACGGGAGGUGGGUUGGGACGGCACGCGGGGACAGUGGGCAUCACCGCAGGCUGCUGGGUACGCGCUCCCGCUUGGAAGAAGUGCUUUCUCACAACUUUGAUGCCCGAUUUAGGGGGAUCUGGGAGCUCAAAUGCAGCUGGGAACACGUUUCCCAGUUCGCCGAGAGCGUUCGGGUUCACGAAGCACCUCGGGGGCCGUGGGAGCGGCCCCCCGAACAGCCCCUGCCUCGUUAGCGAGACCGGGCACGGUCGCUUUGGAUGAUCCGGUUUAAAUAACGGAGAAAGCAUUCACGUAUGCUUAAUCCACGCUUUCUUUAAAUACCAUUAGGACAAUUGUCUCGAUCCGAGGUCAGGAAAAAUUCCGUUCGGUGGAGACAAGAGGCCGAGAGGGUGGCAGGAGAAUGAGGGGCUUUGGGAGCGAAUCGGUGGGAGCGCCGUGCGGGCAGCUCACCUCCUGCAAAGCACGGGAGCGGUUGGUGCCCGCCGCUCGCGGAGCCGCUCG